GCUUGCAUUGAACCUGGAAAGCGGCGAAAGGGAGAGUAACGCGUAGAUAUGUACCCUAGGGUCUGGGAUAGCGUCGGGAAACUGGCGGUAAUACCGGAUAAUGUCCCCGGACCAAAGGUUUACUGCCCUAGGAGCAGUCUGCGUCCUACUAGCUUGUUGGUGGGGUAAUGGCCUACCAAGGCGAUGAUGGGUAGCGGGCGUGAGAGCGUGACCCGUCUCACUGGGACUGAGACACUGCCCAGACACCUACGGGUGGCUGCAGUCGAGAAUCUUCCGCAAUGGACGAAAGUCUGACGGAGCGACGCCGCGUGCGGGAUGAAGGCCCUCGGGUUGUAAACCGCUGUCAGAGGGAAGGAAAUUUUGACCGAACCUCAGAGGAAGUCCGGGCUAAGUUCGUGCCAGCAGCCGCGGUAACACGAACCGGACAAACGUUAUUCGGAAUUACUGGGCUUAAAGAGUACGUAGGCGGCCAAGUAGGUGGGGUGUGAAAGCCCACGGCUCAACCGUGGAAUUGCGCUCCAAACCACUUGGCUUGAGGGAGACAGGGGUAUGCGGAACUGAUGGUGGAGCGGUGAAAUGCGUUGAUAUCAUCAGGAACACCAGUGGCGAAGGCGGCAUACUGGGUCUCUUCUGACGCUGAGGUACGAAAGCUAGGGUAGCGAACAGGAUUAGAUACCCUGGUAGUCCUAGCUGUAAACGAUGAGCACUUGUUCGGGGGGACUUCCACAUCCUCCCGGACGUAGCGAAAGUG
rnacentral:rRNA from 1 species